rnacentral:rRNA from 1 species
AGUGAACGCUGGCGGUAGGCCUAACACAUGCAAGUCGAACGGCAGCACAGUAAGAGCUUGCUCUUACGGGUGGCGAGUGGCGGACGGGUGAGGAAUACAUCGGAAUCUACUUUUUCGUGGGGGAUAACGUAGGGAAACUUACGCUAAUACCGCAUACGACCUACGGGUGAAAGCAGGGGAUCUUCGGACCUUGCGCGAUUGAAUGAGCCGAUGUCGGAUUAGCUAGUUGGCGGGGUAAAGGCCCACCAAGGCGACGAUCCGUAGCUGGUCUGAGAGGAUGACCAGGAAAACUGGGACUGAGACACGGCCCAGAGUACGACGGGAGGCACAAGUGGGGAAGGUUGGACAAGGGGCGUAAGCCUGAUCAAGCAAUGCGGCGUGAAAGAAGAAGGCCUUCGGGUUGUAAACUGCUUUUGUAAGGAACGAAACGGAUCAGGGUAAUACCCGGGGGUAAGGACGGGACCGGAAGAAUAAGCACCGGCUAACGACGUG